AACAGCUUCCUUGCUUAUCUCUUGCCAAAACAAUUGGAAGAAAGUUGUUGAAAUUGAUGCAUCCAAUAUUGGUUAUGGAGGAAUUUUGAAAUAAAUUAAUCCUGAAAAUAAUAAAGAAGAGCUAAUUCACUUUACUUCAGGAAUGUGGAAAUCACCACAAAUAAAUUAUUCAACAAUAAAGAAAAAAAUGCUUUAUGUUAAAUGUAUUUCUAAAUUUCAAGAUGAUUUAUUAAAUCAGAUUUUUAUCUUGAGAGUUGACUGCUCAGCAGUUAAACAAAUUUUGAAAAAAGAUAUUAAAAAUCUUGCCUCAAAACAAAUUUUUGCUAAAUGGCAAGUAGAAUUAUCUUCUUUUGAUUUUGAAAUUGAUUAUAUCAAAGGAGAAUCUAAUUCUCUCCCUGAUUUUUUUAUCAGGGAAUUUUUACAAGAUCACAAUGAUCAGUGACAAUAGAUCAGAAAUUUAAAUAAAAUUCUGAGAGAAAUUACAGUUCUGGAGCAAAGGAAUAAAUACCUUUUGUCUUCCAAACUCUUACAAUGCUACUAUUUCAGUUAUCAGACUGAAGUAAUUCUAAAUAAUAAUGCAAUUAUAGCAUUACAAAGGGAGGCUAAAGAUUUGUCUAUUACAAAUUCUAUUAAUAUCAUUAAUGAUAAAUGAUCAACAGAGAAGGAAAUUAAAUAAAAUCCUUCAACAAAUUGAUAUCUUAGAGCAAAUAAAUAUUCUUCUUUUCCGUAUAAGAUGCCAAUAUUUUAGUUACAUAACUGAAGAAUAUGUAAUAACAACUUUAAAAAAUGAAGCUAGAAAGUUGUAUAUUACAACAUAGAAUUAAUUGAUGAUUAAUUCUGAAAAUAUCAGAAAAAUGAAUAAAUUAAUAAGGAAGAUGGAAAGUUCUUUAGAGCUAUCCAAUUUUAUGAUAAAGAAAUUAGAAAAAAGGAUAAUGUUCCUUCUUCUGAUAAUAUGUGAAAAACUUUCUACUUGCUUGAUAGAGACCGUAUGGCUCGAAAAGUUUUAAAGUUAUAUAUGUAACUCAAAAAUAAUAAGCAUAUUGCUUUCAUUUGAUUUUCUUACGAUUAAUGAAAAACAAAGACAACAAAUUACUAAAAUUUUAAGAGAAAUAGAUUCUCUUGAGAAAUAAUUUCUAGAUUGGUGUACAACAGAAAUUACUGUUGACAGCUUUGAUGAUCCUAUCUUUAUUCAGGGCUUCGAUAAUAUGUGCCUUACUCGAAGUAGAAUUGAAGAUCUUAAAGAUCAAUUAGUCAAAUUAUAUAUUUUAUAUGGUUAAUCUAUUGCAGAUAGCUAAUAAAGGAAAGAAAAAUAUCCCGCCAUAUAAAGGUUCUGCUCUUGGAAGAAUAUCUUCUUCCCCAUUAAUUGAUGAUGAGGGGUUUUCUAUCGUUCCCCCAAAGCAAUAUUUCAAGAGGGGUGGGCAUAUUGGUUCAUUUUCUUCGUCUAAACAGAAGCAGAAGAUUCCUAAUAAUAAGGAGAAGCAGACUCCUAAUAAAAAGGAGACUUUAGCCAAUAUUGUGGCUAAGAAUGAGAAUGAAGAAUAUGUCUCAAAGAAUUAUCCUAUGCAUAUCCAGAAUGAGAAUGAAGAAUAUGUCUCAAAGAAUUAUCCUAUGCAUAUCUGCUAUAUUGAGCAGGAAGAUUAUCAUUUGAUUGAUAAUCCUUGGGCAAUAAGAGCCAAGUAUCUCAAUCCUUUUCAAAGCAGGAUUCAUUCAGGGAAACCUAGCAUAUAUUUUGAAAAUAACUUGGAUCAAACUGAUAGUAUGGAUAUAGUAUAUACACCAUACCAGGAAAAAUGUUGUUGAUCUUACCAGUUCUAUAUAUUAUAGAAAGUGCAUUAUCAAAAAGGUUAUUAAGCCAGGAAAUUGGGGUUUGGAUCUUUCUGCCUCAAAAUCCAUGAUUAUUAAUAAGGUCUCCCAGAGUUUCAAUUAUUGGGAUUACUAUAAGGUUUUUUUUUGAGGUUUUCAUGUAUCAAAAUCAAAAGCUGAAGCAUUCUUGGUUUUUCAAGUUUUGCACAAGGAUAAUGACAUCCGGUGAUUUACCAGUCUGGUUUUAUGAUUGGUGGCUUACAUAUGGGCCUGUAGUAGAUAUUUUACAGUCCAAUAUUUUAGAAGCCUUUCGCAGAUGGGAAAAAUGGCAUCCUCAAAUUAGAGGAAAGAAUGAUUUACCAUAU
rnacentral:lncRNA from 1 species